rnacentral:rRNA from 1 species
UACGAAGGGGGCUAGCGUUGUUCGGAUUUACUGGGCGUAAAGCGCACGUAGGCGGAUGGUUAAGUCAGGGGUGAAAUCCCAGAGCUCAACUCUGGAACUGCCUUUGAUACUGGCCAUCUCGAGUCCGGAAGAGGUGAGUGGAACUCCUAGUGUAGAGGUGGAAUUCGUAGAUAUUAGGAAGAACACCAGUGGCGAAGGCGGCUCACUGGUCCGGUACUGACGCUGAGGUGCGAAAGCGUGGGGAGCAAACAGG